rnacentral:rRNA from 1 species
GAUGAACGCUGGCGGCGUGCCUAAUACAUGCAAGUCGAGCGAACAGACGAGGAGCUUGCUCCUCUGACGUUAGCGGCGGACGGGUGAGUAACACGUGGAUAACCUACCUAUAAGACUGGGAUAACUUCGGGAAACCGGAGCUAAUACCGGAUAAUAUAUUGAACCGCAUGGUUCAAUAGUGAAAGACGGUUUUGCUGUCACUUAUAGAUGGAUCCGCGCCGCAUUAGCUAGUUGGUAAGGUAACGGCUUACCAAGGCAACGAUGCGUAGCCGACCUGAGAGGGUGAUCGGCCACACUGGAACUGAGACACGGUCCAGACUCCUACGGGAGGCAGCAGUGGGGAAUCUUCCGCAAUGGGCGAAGGCCUGACGGAGCAACGCCGCGUGAGUGAUGAAGGUCUUCGGAUCGUAAAACUCUGUUAUUAGGGAAGAACAAAUGUGUAAGUAACUAUGCACGUCUUGACGGUACCUAAUCAGAAAGCCACGGCUAACUACGUG